rnacentral:rRNA from 1 species
AGAGUUUGAUCCUGGCUCAGGAUGAACGCUAGCGACAGGCCUAACACAUGCAAGUCGAGGGGUAACAGGGGCUUCGGCCCGCUGACGACCGGCGCACGGGUGAGUAACGCGUAUGCAACCUACCUGUAACUGGGGGAUAGCUCCCUGAAAGGGGAAUUAACACCGCAUAAGACCACGCUAUCACAUGGUAAAGUGGUAAAAUAUUUAUAGGUUACAGAUGGGCAUGCGUGACAUUAGUUAGUUGGCGGGGUAACGGCCCACCAAGACUACGAUGUCUAGGGGUUCUGAGAGGAAGGUCCCCCACACUGGUACUGAGACACGGACCAGACUCCUACGGGAGGCAGCAGUGAGGAAUAUUGGUCAAUGGACGCAAGUCUGAACCAGCCAUGUCGCGUGCAGGAAGACGGCCCUAUGGGUUGUAAACUGCUUUUGUACGGGAAGAAAAUCAGCUACGUGUAGUUGUUUGCCGGUACCGUACGAAUAAGGAUCGGCUAACUCCGUGCCAGCAGCCGCGGUAAUACGGAGGAUCCGAGCGUUAUCCGGAAUUAUUGGGUUUAAAGGGUGCGUAGGCGGCCAUUUAAGUCAGCGGUGAAAUUUUGCAGCUUAACUGUAACAGUGCCGUUGAUACUGUUUGGCUAGGAUUUGGUUGUAGUGUGCGGAAUGUGUGGUGUAGCGGUGAAAUGCUUAGAUAUCACACAGAACACCGAUUGCGAAGGCAGCACACUAAGUCAUUAUUGACGCUGAGGCACGAAAGUGUGGGGAUCAAACAGGAUUAGAUACCCUGGUAGUCCACACUGUAAACGAUGAUAACUCGCUGUCGGCGAUACACAGUCGGUGGCCAAGCGAAAGCAUUAAGUUAUCCACCUGGGGAGUACGACCGCAAGGUUGAAACUCAAAGGAAUUGACGGGGGCCCGCACAAGCGGAGGAACAUGUGGUUUAAUUCGAUGAUACGCGAGGAACCUUACCCGGGCUCGAACGGUGCAUGAAUAUACGAGAGAUUGUAUAGUCCUUCGGGACAUGUAUCGAGGUGCUGCAUGGUUGUCGUCAGCUCGUGCCGUGAGGUGUCGGCUUAAGUGCCAUAACGAGCGCAACCCUUGUCAUUAGUUGCCAUCAGGUCAAGCUGGGGACUUUAAUGAGACUGCCACCGUAAGGUGUGAGGAAGGGGGGGAUGACGUCAAAUCAGCACGGCCCUUAUGUCCGGGGCGACACACGUGUUACAAUGGGAGGUACAGAGGGCAGCUAUCCGGUGACGGAAUGCUAAUCUCCAAAACCUUUCUCAGUUCGGAUUGGAGUCUGCAACUCGACUCCAUGAAGCUGGAUUCGCUAGUAAUCGCGCAUCAGCCACGGCGCGGUGAAUACGUUCCCGGGCCUUGUACACACCGCCCGUCA